UACGGGGGGGGCAAGCGUUGUUCGGAUUCACUGGGCGUAAAGGGUGCGUAGGCGGUCGGGUAAGUCUGACGUGAAAUCUUCAAGCUUAACUUGGAAACUGCGUCGGAUACUAUUCGGCUAGAGGAAUGGAGGGGAGACUGGAAUACUUGGUGUAGCAGUGAAAUGCGUAGAUAUCAAGUGGAACACCAGUGGCGAAGGCGAGUCUCUGGACAUUUCCUGACGCUGAGGCACGAAAGCCAGGGGAGCAAACGGG
rnacentral:rRNA from 1 species